rnacentral:rRNA from 1 species
UACGGAGGGAGCUAGCGUUGUUCGGAAUUACUGGGCGUAAAGCGCACGUAGGCGGCUUUUCAAGUCAGGGGUGAAAUCCCGGGGCUCAACCCCGGAACUGCCCUUGAAACUGGAUGGCUAGAAUCCUGGAGAGGCGAGUGGAAUUCCGAGUGUAGAGGUGAAAUUCGUAGAUAUUCGGAAGAACACCAGUGGCGAAGGCGACUCGCUGGACAGGUAUUGACGCUGAGGUGCGAAAGCGUGGGGAGCAAACAGG